rnacentral:rRNA from 1 species
GUAGGGUGCGAGCGUUAAUCGGAAUUACUGGGCGUAAAGCGAGCGCAGACGGUUACUUAAGCAGGAUGUGAAAUCCCCGGGCUCAACCUGGGAACUGCGUUCUGAACUGGGUGACUAGAGUGUGUCAGAGGGAGGUAGAAUUCCACGUGUAGCAGUGAAAUGCGUAGAGAUGUGGAGGAAUACCGAUGGCGAAGGCAGCCUCCUGGGAUAACACUGACGUUCAUGCUCGAAAGCGUGGGGGUAGCAAACAGGAUUAGAUACCCUGGUAGUCCACGCCCUAAACCGAUGUCAAUUAGCUGUUGGGCAACUUGAUUGCUUAGUAGCGUAGCUAACGCGUGAAAUUGACCGCCUGGGAGUACGGUCGCAAGAUUA